ensembl:lncRNA
CAAAACUGUUCGUUUCUGAAACUGGGAUGGUGUGUGGUGUAACAUUCUUUCACCACAUGAAUCUUCUGCUCUUUACCAACCUGUGAUUUCCCCUGCAGCCAACACUCUAACACUUACAGCCCACUUACUUUCCACCACCACACAGGCCAACAUGUCUCUCUCCAAUGCAGCUGCCGUUCUGUUCUUCAUAGUUCUGAACUGUGUGCACAUAGAGUCUCAAGAUUCUCUCCCACUUCCUACUCUUUCACUUGAUCCUUCUAUGAACACAAGUGACAUUCAGCUGCUUUCUCAGGUGAAGCUUCUCUGCUCCAUCCCAGAUAAAGCUCCCUUUCCUGUAUUAGUCUAUAUAGCUCAUGCGGAUAAUCCAGUUGUAAAUUCAGCACGUUGGCCGAUCUUUUCGAACCUUAGGAGUGCAGAUGUCAUAAUUUUCACCAUCUUAUUGAACCCUGAAGCUGAAGGCACGUUUGUGUGCCGCUACCAAUCUACCAGAUCAAAACAAGACUCUGGACUUAGCAACUCUGUCAACUUAGUCAUAAAUUCUCUCCCGAAACCCAUCAUGUCCCUCAGACCUUCCCUAAUUCUUUUGGGUGGACGUUACGUUGCAGUGUGUACGACUCCAGCUGAUGGAUUCGUGAACGUCACAAUGCGCCUUUAUGAGCGUCCACUUCCCCUCACCCCUGGCAAAGAGGGUUUCAACUUUGUAGGAUCGCGAACGCUUGCACCAACAGAGAUUGGGGCAUCAGUCAAUAAAACAAUAGCUGUUGUCUCAACUGAGCAUGUCUGCACAAUGGAGGUGUUCUACAAAGGGAAGAUCCUGCAGUCUGCGUCCAUCCCUGUGGUAGCCAUACCAGAUGAGCUGCCAGCACGUCUGUAUUCACCCGUUCGAGAUUCAGCAGCCUGUUCAGGAUAUUUGUCCAUGAGAGUGAAGGAUGUUUGGAGACCUGUGUGUUUUCCUCGCAGUUCCGAUUAUCAAUUAGAGGCGGCUGAUGUAGUGUGCAGAGAAGUGAAUUGUGGGCAUGCACUUGGAUGGGACACUCUUUCAGAUGGCAGUUCAAAUAUUUUGGGCACACCACAAUGCACUGGGAAAGAGAAGAAGAUAGCUGAAUGCCCUAUUGCUAACGUAAACUGUUAUAAUCCAUCCUUCCAUGUUAUCUGCUCAGGUGCCAUGCCUCCUCCUAAAUUCUCUGCAAUUGGACAUGGGUCUGCUUCGGUGGUGUACCUCAGGUCAGAAGAGUCAGUGACCCUCAGCUGCAGUUUGGAGUCAUCAUCACUGACAAGCAGUGACUGGAUAUAUCUUAAAAUUACACUAAAUGGAAAACGCAUGGACAGCAGACAUUUCAUAUCGACUGACAGCUUUCGGUAUACGUUCACUCCAAAAGUGAUGGAAGGAGAGUAUUCUUGCUUUGCCAGUCCAGAUUCAGGCUUCUUGAGGCAGUCAGAGAAAAGCAACUCAGUAUAUGUCUACAUCUAUGAUCCUCCACCUGCAGGAGCAGUAGCUGCUGCUGUUAUCACCACUGUAGCAGGAGCAGCGCUUCUUAUAUUCGUUUGUGUUUUUCGCAAAAGCCAAGAGGAGCUGCAGAGCAAUGCGCAUGCAGCAGCUACCCCUAACCCUGAGGUUACACAGCCUGGCAAUACUACAAUUCCACCACAGGGGACUCUGCCACAAGUGUAGGAAAAGCUUAUUCACUUAAAUUGUUGUUUAUUUUUACAAUAAAAUAAAUAAUGAAAUAAGUAUUUUUUUUUGU